rnacentral:misc_RNA from 1 species
AUCAUUUUCCACACGCCUGUCCAGCCAGUGAAUGCUCUUGGAGCUGCCAUCGCAAUCCUUGGAACCUUCUUGUAUUCCCAGGCAAAGCAGUGAUGACGCUUGGAGCAGGCAAUUAAGAUUUAUCAUGAUGUAAAAUUAUGAUGAGAAACAACUGUGUCAAGAUAGGGUUCAUAGUUGCUCUGUUUUGAAGAUGAAGGAUGGCUGGUUUUUGCUUGGAUGACCCAGCAGGCAUCUUACUGUAGAUAAUAAUAAUAAAAAAUUAAUAAUUGUGAUUAUGAGCAACAUUUGCUCUUAUAAAAUGUUUAUUACUGAGGUUUUUCAUACUUUAGUGAGGCUGAGGAGAAAAUGUUACAAUAAAACUUGGAUAAUGUCCAAAUCUUGUCUGUUUCAAAGACAAACAUUAACAACAUUUUGAAUACUAAGAAAUUCAUAUUUCCUUGCAUUUCUUGCUCAAGCAAAAUACUUCAUAUAACCUU